rnacentral:rRNA from 1 species
GGCUCAGAACGAACGCUGGCGGCAGGCCUAACACAUGCAAGUCGAGCGCGCCUUUCGGGGCGAGCGGCGGACGGGUGAGUAACGCGUGGGAACGUGCCCUUCGGUGCGGAAUAUACCAGGGAAACUUGGGGCAAUACCGCAUACGGUCUACGGACGAAAGAUUUAUCGCCGAGGGAUCGGCCCGCGUUGGAUUAGGUAGUUGGUAGGGUAAUGGCCUACCAAGCCUACGAUCCGUAGCUGGUUUGAGAGGAUGAUCAGCCACACUGGAACUGAGACACGGUCCAGACUCCUACGGGAGGCAGCAGUGAGGAAUAUUGGACAAUGGGGGGAACCCUGAUCCAGCCAUGCCGCGUGAGUGAUGAAGGCCUUAGGGUUGUAAAGCUCUUUCGCUGGGGAAGAUAAUGACGGAGCAGAAGAAGAG